rnacentral:sRNA from 1 species
AGUUCGCCUAGCUCGACGGGGCGAAAGCCGGGGACCCUGCCCGGUUGGCGGGAAAGCCCCUCAGGA